rnacentral:rRNA from 1 species
AUUGAACGCUGGCGGCAUGCCUUACACAUGCAAGUCGAACGGCAGCACGGGAGCAAUCCUGGUGGCGAGUGGCGAACGGGUGAGUAAUAUAUCGGAACGUGCCCAGUCGUGGGGAUAACGUAGCGAAAGCUACGCUAAUACCGCAUACGAUCUACGGAUGAAAGCGGGGGAUCGCAAGACCUCGCGCGAUUGGAGCGGCCGAUAUCAGAUUAGGUAGUUGGUGAGGUAAAGGCUCACCAAGCCGACGAUCUGUAGCUGGUCUGAGAGGACGACCAGCCACACUGGGACUGAGACACGGCCCAGACUCCUACGGGAGGCAGCAGUGGGGAAUUUUGGACAAUGGGCGCAAGCCUGAUCCAGCAAUGCCGCGUGCAGGAUGAAGGCCUCGGUUGUAAC